rnacentral:rRNA from 1 species
UACGGAGGUGCAAGCGUUGCUCGGAAUUAUUGGGCGUAAAGGGUAGGUAGGUGGUCUCGUUUGUCUGGGGUGAAAUCCUUGACGCUUAACUCAAGAAGUGCCUCAGAAACGGCGAGACUAGAGUUCUGGAGAGGGUCGUGGAAUUCCGGUGUAAGCGGUGAAAUGCGUAGAUAAUCGGGAGGAACACCAGAGGCGAAGGCGGCGACCUGGA